rfam:Chryseobacterium sp. T16E-39 chromosome, complete genome.
CAAAAGGCUUUUUUCAAAGCCCUCUGUAAAUAAUCAAUCAAUAUGG